rnacentral:rRNA from 1 species
CAAAUGGCGAAGCAAGUCCGGUCGCUGGAUAAGAGUUUGAUCCUGGCUCUUCUUGACGCUGGAGGCAGGCCUAACACAUGCAAGUCGAGCGGAUGAGUGGAGCUUGCUCCAUGAUUCAGCGGCGGACGGGUGAGUAAUGCCUAGGAAUCUGCCUGGUAGUGGGGGAUAACGUUUCGAAAGGAACGCUAAUACCGCAUACGUCCUACGGGAGAAAGUGGGGGAUCUUCGGACCUCACGCUAUCAGAUGAGCCUAGGUCGGAUUAGCUAGUUGGUGGGGUAAUGGCCCACCAAGGCGACGAUCCGUAACUGGUCUGAGAGGAUGAUCAGUCACACUGGAACUGAGACACGGUCCAGACUCCUACGGGAGGCAGCAGUGGGGAAUAUUGGACAAUGGGCGAAAGCCUGAUCCAGCCAUGCCGCGUGUGUGAAGAAGGUCUUCGGAUUGUAAAGCACUUUAAGUUGGGAGGAAGGGCAGUAAGUUAAUACCUUGCUGUUUUGACGUUACCAACAGAAUAAGCACCGGCUAACUUCGUGCCACAGCCGCGGUAAUACGAAGGGUGCAAGCGUUAAUCGGAAUUACUGGGCGUAAAGCGCGCGUAGGUGGUUCAACAAGUUGGAUGUGAAAGCCCCGGGCUCAACCUGGGAAUUGCAUCCAAAACUACUGACUAAGUACGGAAAGGGUGGGGGAAUUUCCUGUGUAGCGGUAAAUGCGAAAAUAGGAGGACCCCAUUGGCGAAGCGACCCCUGGACUGAUCUGACCUGAGUGCGAAGCGUGGGAGAAACAGAUUAAUACCCUGGGUAUCCCGCGUAACAAG